ACGCAUUGAUUCAGCUUCUGUCUCAAGGAACGCAUUGAUUCUUUCUUUCUCUAUUAAAAAGAUUUCCUUCCUUUUUUUUCUUUAUAUAUUACAUUUCUUUUUCUCUGUACUUUUGAGAGAAAGAAGCCAUUCAUUUUCUCACCCAAGUUUGUUUUUCUAAGGGUGUGAUCAUCAUUGGAUACAACAGGGACUUUGCGGAAGAAGAAGAGAAAAAAGAGAGAUUUAAAAGUUUGAGUUUUUGUUUUUGGAUAGAAAUAUUGAAAUGGGAUCAUCUUCAGGACAAAGUAGUGAAAGCUAUGAUCAUUCAUUUAAGAUCGUGUUGAUCGGAGACCUGGCUGUCGGCAAGAGUAGUUUGGCCGCUAGCUUCAUUUCAGAUUCUGCAGCAGAUCUAGAUAAAACCAUUGGUGUGGAUCUUAACAUCAAGUUGUUAACUGUUGGUGGGAAGAGAUUAAAGCUUACUAUUUGGGAUACUGCUGGACAGGAAAGGUACAGAACAUUAACAAGCUCUUACUAUAGAGGUGCCCAUGGGAUCAUACUUGUUUAUGACGUAACAGAGAGAGAAACCUUCACGAGUUUGUCUGAUGUUUGGGCCAAAGAAGUGGAGCUCUAUUCUACCAAUAAGGACUGUGUCAAGAUGCUUGUUGGAAAUAAAGUUGAUAGAGAUCCUGAAAAGGCUGUAAGUAGAGAAGAAGGGACUGCACUUGCAAAAGAGCUUGGAUAUAUGUUUUUUGAAUGCAGUACUAAAACAAGAGAAAACGUGGAGAAAUGCUUUGAGGAGCUUGCAUUGAAGAUGAUGGAAGCUCCUAGUCUUUCGCAAGAAGGGUCUGCUGAAGGAAAGCAAAACAUCAUAGAGCCGAAACCAGCGUACACGUCUCCUCCAAAAGGAGAUUGUUGUAGUUGCCAGUAAAUUGCAGCAAUAUGAAGGCCUCAACAUGAAGGGAUGACUUACAUGUAUCAAUUGAACGCUUCAAUUGAUAAUUUCCACCUUAGCAGAUUGUGAACAAAUCAUGUAUAUGAUAAUUUCUUUUGAUAUUCUAUACUGCUGUUCUUCCCAGUGGAGUUGCCAUGGCUAAUGGUAAUCUCAAAGGUUAUUUGGAUGAAAGAUUAAAAGGCAACCUUAGGCAAGCUGGAGAUGACAUAUACGCAAUGACAGUACAAUACAAUCAAUCUGGUCUGAGGCUGAGCAAAAUAAAGGUCAAAGUACUGGAACUUAUUUUCUUUUGAAGGAAAUGGAAGAAUAAUUCAGCAUAGCUGACAACAACCAUAUAUGAUGAACAUUUCUAUCUCUGCAAAUCUUUGCCUUGUAUCUCUUGCAAUAGAAUUAGAAAUGAAAACCUGCUCCACGUUGAAAUAUGUUUGGACACUCCGUUGAAAAGGGUUUCAACUUUCAACAAUUUCAGCAUGCUCAAAGAUAUGUAAGUCAUGGGUGUAUGUCAUUCACCAGCCAAUUCUUGCCCCAUUUGAUGUUGGAAGUCGGAACAGCCUUCAAACAAAGAUCAAACACCAGUGAUAAAUGAUAAUUACAUCAUGGAAAUUUGUACAUUAGUUUUUAAUGUUACCCUUUCAGUCUCAUCCAUGUCA